rnacentral:rRNA from 1 species
CGGCGUGCUUAACACAUGCAAGUCGAACGAUGCACUCUAUUUGAUUUUCUUCGGAAAUGAAGAUUUUGUGACUGAGUGGCGGACGGGUGAGUAACGCGUGGGUAACCUGCCUCAUACAGGGGGAUAACAGUUGGAAACGACUGCUAAUACCGCAUAAGCGCACAGGAUUGCAUGAUCCGGUGUGAAAAACUCCGGUGGUAUGAGAUGGACCCGCGUCUGAUUAGCCAGUUGGCAGGGUAACGGCCUACCAAAGCGACGAUCAGUAGCCGACCUGAGAGGGUGACCGGCCACAUUGGGACUGAGACACGGCCCAAACUCCUACGGGAGGCAGCAGUGGGGAAUAUUGCACAAUGGGGGAAACCCUGAUACAGCGACGCCGCGUGGAGGAAGAAGGUAUUCGGAUUGUAAACUCCUGUCGUUAGGGACGAUAAUGACGGUACCUAACAAGAAAGCACCGGCUAACUACGUGCCAGCAGCCGCGGUAAAACGUAGGGUGCAAGCGUUGUCCGGAAUUACUGGGUGUAAAGGGAGCGCAGGCGGACCGGCAAGUUGGAAGUGAAAACUAUGGGCUCAACCCAUAAAUUGCUUUCAAAACUGCUGGCCUUGAGUAGUGCAGAGGUAGGUGGAAUUCCCGGUGUAGCGGUGGAAUGCGUAGAUAUCGGGAGGAACACCAGUGGCGAAGGCGACCUACUGGGCACCAACUGACGCUGAGGCUCGAAAGCAUGGGUAGCAAACAGGAUUAGAUACCCUGGUAGUCCAUGCCGUAAACGAUGAUUACUAGGUGUUGGAGGAUUGACCCCUUCAGUGCCGCAGUUAACACAAUAAGUAAUCCACCUGGGGAGUACGACCGCAAGGUUGAAACUCAAAGGAAUUGACGGGGGCCCGCACAAGCAGUGGAGUAUGUGGUUUAAUUCGAAGCAACGCGAAGAACCUUACCAGGUCUUGACAUCCGAUGCAUAGUGCAGAGAUGCAUGAAGUCCUUCGGGACAUCGAGACAGGUGGUGCAUGGUUGUCGUCAGCUCGUGUCGUGAGAUGUUGGGUUAAGUCCCGCAACGAGCGCAACCCUUAUUGUCAGUAGCCAGCAGGUGAAGCUGGGCACUCUGAUGAGACUGCCGGGGAUAACCCGGAGGAAGGUGGGGAUGACGUCAAAUCAUCAUGCCCCUUAUGAGCAGGGCUACACACGUGCUACAGUGGCGUAAACAGAGGGAAGCGAAGGAGUGAUCUGGAGCAAAUCUCAAAAAUAACGUCUCAGUUCGGAUUGUAGUCUGCAACUCGACUACAUGAAGCUGGAAUCGCUAGUAAUCGCAGAUCAGAAUGCUGCGGUGAAUACGUUCCCGGGU